UACGUAGGCAGCGAGCGUUGUUCGGAAUUACUGGGCGUAAAGAGUGUGUAGGCGGUGCUCCAAGUCUGUUGUGAAAUCUCCCGGCUUAACUGGGAGGGUGCAGCGGAAACUAGAGUGCUAGAGGGUGGGAGAGGUAAGCGGAAUUCCUGGUGUAGCGGUGAAAUGCGUAGAUAUCAGGAGGAACACCGGUGGCGAAGGCGGUUCUCUGGGCCUUACCUGACGCUGAGGAGCGAAAGCGUGGGGAGCGAACAGG
rnacentral:rRNA from 1 species